AUUGAACGCUGGCGGCAGGCCUAACACAUGCAAGUCGAGCGGAUGAAGGGAGCUUGCUCCUGGAUUCAGCGGCGGACGGGUGAGUAAUGCCUAGGAAUCUGCCUGGUAGUGGGGGAUAACGUCAGGAAACGGGCGCUAAUACCGCAUACGACCUGAGGGAGAAAGUGGGGGAUCUUCGGACCUCACGCUAUCAGAUGAGCCUAGGUCGGAUUAGCUAGUUGGUGGGGUAAAGGCCUACCAAGGCGACGAUCCGUAACUGGUCUGAGAGGAUGAUCAGUCACACUGGAACUGAGACACGGACCAGACUCCUACGGGAGGCAGCAGUGGGGAAUAUUGGACAGUGGGCGAAAGCCUGGUCCAGCCAUGCCGCGUGUGUGAAGAAGGUCUUCGGAUUGUAAAGCACUUUAAGUUGGGAGGAAGGGCAGUAAGUUAAUACCUUGCUGUUUUGACGGUACCAACAGAAUAAGCACCGGCUAACUUCGUG
rnacentral:rRNA from 1 species